UACGGGGGGGGCAAGCGUUGUUCGGAAUUACUGGGCGUAAAGGGUUUGUAGGUGGCCUGCUAAGUCAGACGUGAAAUCCCUCAGCUUAACUGGGGAACUGCGUCUGAGACUGGUAGGCUCGAGGACAGGAGAGGAACGCGGAAUUCCAGGUGUAGCGGUGAAAUGCGCAGAUAUCGGGAAGAACACCCGUGGCGAAGGCGGCUCUCUGGGACGGUACUGACGCUGAGACGCGAAAGCGUGGGGAGCGAACAGG
rnacentral:rRNA from 1 species